GUCGAAUACCAAAAAACUCAAACGGCAUUCAUACGUGUGUCGGGGACUGGAGUGGGAGGUGGCCGUAUAAUUCGGCUCCAACGCUGGAUGUGGACGUCGCGAAUUCGGAUGAACUUUACUCGUAAAUUUGAUAUUCUUACCAUGGCCAGCCAUGUGUAUUUAGAAACAUUUCGGCUAUAACUGUUGCACUUUUGGCCAAGUGACUUUCUUAAUGUCUAACAAUUGGGCAAUAUUAUUUGAAGUGCACGAAUUCGAAAAUGAACCUUGUGUUGUGCCCUUUUGUCACAUGGUCGGACAUUUUCACACCAAAACUGCAGUAGACAUUCAACACCAAAUUUACUGUUGAGCCUGGACCAUUUUGUCUUGAGUUUACGAAAUUCUCUAACUCCGACAUAAACAGACUUUAAAAGCAAUUGUUAGGUUCGGUGCCUGCUGUGGCUUGAGAAGCCUUUGAUAAAUUGCCUCAGACUGCAGUUUAAAACUUCAAGACCGCCGGGAAGCUGGACGGGAACAUCGCAUCGACCAAACGACAUCUUGUGUUGUGAAGGUCCCCACCACCCCCAUAGACCUGAGGCAGACCCAGCAGCCAGUAGAAAGAUCUUGUCCAGCCAAGCUUCAAAAGAAAAGAUAGAACUUUCUCUCGAUUGAACUGUUUCCUGAUAGAACUGUUUCCUGAUAGAGCUGUUUCUCAAUAGAACUGUUUCCUGAUAGAGCUGUUUCUCGAUGGAACUGUUUCCUGAUAGAACUGUUUCUCGAUGGAACUGUUUCUCGAUAGAACCGUUUCUUGAUGGAACUGUUUCUCGAUAGAACCGUUUCUUGAUAGAACUGUUUCUCGAUAGAACUGUUUCCUGAGUUCAAGAAAGAUAACAUUUUUGUGCUGCUGUCUCCAGAUGGGAGUUGAAGAUCUAUGGAUGUGGUAUGUGUGUGUGUUUUAUCUAUGGAUCCGGAUUGCAAGUCGCCAAACAAAGGAGAGGUAACAUAAGUUUUGCCGAAUCCGACCUCCACUUUUUAAAUUGCCUGUGCAAUACAUCUCGUUGAUAUAAAAAUGAUGGACUUUAAACAAUUUGUUUGUCUGAUUAACUGGCAAAAAAAAGGCCUAGCAAAGACACCGUACUUAUUUCUAGUUUAUCCAACUUUUACUUCUGUUUAUUGGAAAAUAAAUUCAUUGUGUUUUUACAUGAUGUGUAAAUUAGUUGAAAUGAAUUUAAAGUAUAUAACACUCUCUUAUAUAAUGAGUUGUAAAGUUUCUGGAAAAAAAAACAAUUUUAAUAAAUAUAAGUUGAUUAUUGAUAGAGCGCAUAGUGGAGGUCGGAUAACGCAAUUUGACCUUCAAGACAAAGACAAUAGAGAGUGAAGUCUUCGAAUGGUAAGAGAAGAUCUAACCCGUUCUCUUGCAGAGUCCAUCCCCUCAUACUGCCCCUUGCCCCACAAUCUGCGAUCUUGUUGAUGUUGUCCUUGCUUGUAGAGCUUUCAAGGUGACUUCAUAGUUUCUUGGCAUUUCUUGAUUGGCAUAUUGGUCGAAGCCAAUGAUGCUUUUUAGUUAGGAGACUACUCUAACUGGAAAUUCUUGGGUUCGGCACUUCAAGUCAUCAGUUGUCAUGUUUAUUUAAAAUUGUCAUGAUUUUAUAUAAAUUAGCAUAACGUUUAAAAAAUAAUUAAGUACAUUUAGUAUGUUUAGAAGUAAUCGUGCAGUCAAAUAAUAGGUCCAGUCAACAUUCAUUUGAUGAUCAGUGUUUGAUUUAAGAGUAAUUAAUUGACAAUUUAGACCAACUAAAUUACAAUUAAUAUUCUUAAUAUCAGCAUUACAUCAGUUCUGAAUGUAGACAUUUUCAACUGACCAUAAAUCUUUGAAAAUUAGGUCCAGUCAACAUUCAUUUGAUGAUUAGUGUUUGAUUUAAGAGUAAUUAAUUGACAAUUUAGACCAACUAAAUUACAAUUAAUGUUCUUAAUAUCAGCAUUACAUCACUGUUCUGAAUGUAGACAUUUUCAACUGACCAAAAAUCUUUUAAAAUUAAAAAAAUAUAAGACAAAAAAUUAGCCCUUCAAGCCUUGAUCAUUUAAAUCAAAGUUCAAGUAAAGUUUUAAAAAAAGGGGGGACUUCUACCAAACAACAAGUUUUUUUUUAAAGCUUAAGCGCUGUAGUCCACAAAUGCAAGUAAAUUAUCUAGACCUUAUUUGUAAGCGCUGCGAAAAAAGAAAGAAAAAAAAAGACUGAAGACGCUGCGAAAAGAAAAAAAAAUCAAGACUAAAGAUCCUUGAUACCUAGGUAUGUAUGAGUGGUAAGACAGUAAAGGCCUAGAAAUGAGACUAACUCUCCACUGUUUCAUUCAACAGGUGUACUGGUGAUAGGUAUAAGUAUAAGGCAUGACUGAUAUUGGUACUUAGUCUUGAUUCAAGAUGCUCAAUCUCAAUUUCUUUGUGGUGACACAACUUUGUGCUAAGGAUAGUAAAAGAAAGUCCUUAAAAAAUAAAGCCUUGAACCAAAAUUAAGAACUAUGCCAUCAUCAGUUACUGCAACACUUGAGUAGAACAUUAAAACUCUCCCUUUGACGUCCAUGGUGAGUGACUGGAUGCAAGUGAGGUCGGAUGUUUCCAGCAGAGGUUAAGUAUAACUGGUGAUGUAUCAGGUUAAAGCCAAAUUAGUGAACCUCAAAUUCUAACCUUUCUAGAUAAGUUUUUUUCCCCUAAGCAGAUCUUGUUUUCUGAGGAUGACUAUAAGUAGUGUGUGCUGAAAUCCUUACUGAGCAGAGAUGAUCCUACCAGCAGAGACUUGGGUCAUGCAAAAGAUUUGGUAAUGUAUCAGGUUAUAUAAGUUACUAAACCACCUUUCACAUGAGAGAAAUUUAGCAAUGGUCCCUUGCUAAAUUGUAGCAUGGUUGCAAUUUUUUUUUUGACUGUUCAAGCCAUCAGCAGUCAAAAUACGUGUAUCGUUUGAGAUUAUACAAAAGCAUAAUGAACGACCAGCCAACCUCCGAAGUAAAACAACUCAGGAACCCGUUAGAUCCAAUUGAAUGAAAUAUUUUCUGAAACAAUAGAAGUCUAUUCUUCGUGCAAUUUGUUAUAAAGAUUUGUUUAAAUGCUUAAGAUAAAUUAGUAUGUGCCUAAUAAAUUUCCCUUAAUUCGGCAGUUUCUUGUAGGGUGGUGACUACAACUGGAACUGUUUGGAGGAGCAUCAUUGGAGGACAAAUUGAGUGGUGUCUAUCAACCGGACCCUUUUUGAUGAGCAUUGUUGGAAGAUUCUGGUGUCAACAACAUAUCUCUUAGUGACUUUGAAAAAAAUAACUUCUAAAAGCUUUCUUUGAAGAGAAGGUUUAUCCCCAAGUUUUGCAAAGAAUUUUUUAUUCCAGAAUUGGAACCUAGUGAAGGUUUCAUCAAGUCGUCAGUUUUGAAAGAAUAACAUUACAACCAACUGUGGAAUAGGAGGUCAAGAUAAAAAAAAACAAAAAAAAACAAUUAAAAACAAAUGAAAACAAGUAAUGUUGUGCAUGCAUGUUCAAUGAAUUGAAGAAAUGAUUGGAGCUGGAGGAAUUUUCUUGCAAAUGCAAGAAGCAUUCAGAUUUGUCUAUUUCUCAGAACAACUGAUAUAAUACUUGUAUUAAAAGAUGUUUUCAAAAAUAAAUCGAAAAUUGUGUACUUUUCGACCACAGAUUGAGAUGAUGACCUUCGAGAUGACAUACACCAAUCUUGAGGCUAAUGAAAGCUUUAUGGACUGUGCCACCAUCUUAAGAGGGACUGCAUGAAGAUGACAUCCUUACUGAGCUGAGACGAUGCCUACCAGUUGGAACUGGUCAUGCAAAAGAUUUGUUUCUUGUGGAGAGGUUACUACAUACUGGACCAGUUCAGAUGAGCAUCGAUGGAAGACGAAGGUGAACAACAGAUCGCUUGGCUGAGACGAUGACCUUGGAUAUAAAGUACAACCAAAUCUUGAGGCCAAUCAAUGCUUUUUGGACUGUGCCGCCAUCUGAAGAAGGACUGUGUCAAGUUUAGCCAGGUGACUCCCCGGGGCUAUCUAACACUUUUUGAACUGUUGUUCCACCAGCUAAAAGACUAUGCCAAGUCUAGCUUGCUGACUCUCCACUACAAGUUCAAGUAAUGUUGAUGCUAACUAAUGCUUUUGGACUAUGUCAAAUCUACCUUUAUGACUUUAUGGCAAGUUCAACUCUUCAAGUGACUCUGGACAAUAUUGCUAACUAAUGCUUCUUGGAGUGUGUACCACCAGCUGAAUGACUGUGUCAAAUCUACCUGGUUGUCUCUCUGCUACAAGUUUAUCAUUCUAGUGACUUUGGGAUGUUGAGGCUCCCCACUGCUCUCAUUCUAGCUAGAGGACUCUCCGCAACAAGUUCAACCUUUCAACGAUGUCACCAACCGAAGAAAGACCAUGUGCAAAGAGUCAAUACAAGACCGCUUGAUUGAGAUGGUAACCUUGGAGACAUAUACCCAAUCUUGAGACUAAUCAACGCUUUUUGGAUUGUGUGCCACCAACUGAAGGAGGAUUGUGUCAAGUCUAUCCAGAUGACUCCUCCGUUACGAGAUAAACUGUUGACAUUUGAAUAUUGCGACUAAACAUUUUUUUGCUUUUUGAACCGUGUGCCACCAGCUGAUGAAGAACUGUUAAAUAUAUAGCUAGAUUAAGUGACGGCUGUUGAGUCUAACUCAACUUGUGGAUUGUGUACCACCAACUGAAGAAGGACUGCGUCAAGUCUAACCAGCUGACUCUGCUACAAAUUCACUUGUUGAAUUGACAUUGGGAUGAACAUUCUGCUUUUUGGUCUGCGUGCCAUCAACUGAAGGACUGUGCCAAGUCUAGCCAGAUGACUCAAGUCUCUACUACAAUUAUUGCAAUCAUUCAAGUGAAAUCUGGACGCGAGCGAACUACUCCUUUUGUAGACUGUGUGCCACCACCACCAGCUGUAGGACUUUGUCAAGUCCAGCUACAUGUACAUGGCUCUCCGCUACAAGUUUGAAUGUUCAAGUGCCAUGGGACGUUGAUGGUACAUUUGAACCCAACAUUUUUUGGACUCUCACCAAAAUGGACAAAGACUUUGUCAAGCCAACCCAGAAGAUUACCAACAUUUUCAACAGGCUGGACCAUGAUGGCGCUUUACUGUAGUAAGACACUGAACAAUGAGGGAGAGACCAGCUUAAGCCCGGUUCAUACUUCCUGCAAAUGCGAAUGCGAUAUACAUGUAUCACAUUCGCAUUGACUGAAUUUGCGGUUGCGGCUGUGGCUGAAGCUGUUGCUAUGGGCCUCAUAUUAUGCUUUAAUGCAUGUUCACAGGCCAUCAAGCCACAUCCACAGCCACUAAUUCAGAUCUGACCUUAGUGUAUGUUUACUCAAUGGGCUUUUCUUGAAUCCAUCAAACUCUGGUACCAGUUUGUAUGUAUAGCUCAGUGCUCGAUUUCGCAAAAAGCUACAAUUGAUCCUAACUGCGAAUCAAUCGCGAAGCAAAGUGUGAUGUCACAAUACAAAUCACUGUGGUAAUACUGCACACUCAUCUUUAGAUGAGUCUUAGUGCAUUAGUUGAUGUGAUUUGAUUCGAUAACAUUGGCACACCAAAAUUAAACUAAAAAGUCAUCAAACUGUUCUCAGACAGUUAGAAAUCAUUGCAAGAAAAGCUCAGGUUAAGUGAUUUUUAUUACGGAACAAACUUUGAGAAUAAUUUGGUUGAUGAAGGUAGAAUACCGGAUAACAUCUUUUGAGAAAAUUAAAAUGUCAUUGUUUGUAAAUAUGUAGGUUUUUUGAGGUGAUAAAUUUCGUUUUGUAAGAUUACAUGUAAGAAUGUAUGCUCCUGGGAAGUUGAGAAAGCUAAAAGAAUGGUCUUAAAGGGAAAGUACACUAUUGGUAAUUGUCAAAGAAUAGUGUUCUCACUUGGUGUACAAACUGUAUCUC